CCGUGCAAAGGUAGCGUAAUCACUUGUCUUUUAAAUAAAGACUAGUAUGAAUGGCAUCACGAGAACUAAUCUGUCUCCCUCCCCUAAUCAGUGAAACUGAUCUCCCCGUGCAGAAGCGGGGAUAAUAUCAUAAGACGAGAAGACCCUGUGGAGCUUCAAAUCAAAAAUCAACUGCUAUACCUCACCCUCUGAGGACAUACUUCCAUAGACUUGACAUAGAUUUUUAGCUGGGGCGGCUGUGGAGAAAAAAAUAUCCUCCACGAAAUUCUACACCGAGGGCUACUGCCCUAAGUAGUAAUAAAUUAAUUUAAUUGACCCAAUUUUUGAUCAACGAACCAAGUUACCCCAGGGAUAACAGCGCAAUCCACUUUAAGAGUCCAUAUCGACAAGUGGGCUU
rnacentral:rRNA from 1 species